rfam:Phlebotomus papatasi Contig5.111, whole genome shotgun sequence.
GCCUAUAAAAGCUCAGUUGGUAGAGCACUCGUUUAGUUAACGAGAGGUCUCCAGUUCGAUUCUGGGUUUACGCA